UACGUAGGCAGCAAGCGUUGUUCGGAGUUACUGGGCGUAAAGGGUGUGUAGGCGGUUCUCUAAGUUUGGUGUGAAAUCUCCCGGCUCAACUGGGAGGGUGCGCCGAAAACUGGAGAGCUAGAGUACUGGAUGGGAGAGUGGAAUUCCUGGUGUAGCGGUGAAAUGCGCAGAUAUCAGGAAGAACACCCGUGGCUAAGGCGGUUCUCUAGUACGGUACUGACGCUGAGACGCGAAAGCGUGGGGAGCGAACAGG
rnacentral:rRNA from 1 species